AGUGUGGGGCCUCACCGCGACGCCGCGGUCAUGAGCCGGCCCAGCCGGUUGCAGAGGCAAGUUCUGAGCCUGUACCGCGAGCUGCUGCGCGCCGGGCGCCGGGCGCCGAGGCGCGGGUGCGGGCCGAGUUCCGGCAGCACGCCAGCCUUCCGCGAACCGACGUGCUGCGUAUCGAGUAUCUGUAUCGCCGGGGUCGGCGCCAGCUACAGCUGCUGCGUUCGGGCCACGCCACGGCCAUGGGUACCUUCGUGCGCCCGCGGGGUCCGGCUGAAGAGCCCGGCGACGCGACAGCCCCGGGGACCAGGCUGGAUGAUGGUGGUGCCCCAAAGAAUUCUUGUGAAGAUACAGGGGCGCGGGAGACGCGAUCCGAUGGACGGUGACAGACAGACCUAGAGGAAGGUUCCUUCUGACAGUUUGGGGAGGAUCGUGAACUCAUCUAAAUGGAAGCUGAGAUGUCUUGAGAGAUAACCGAAUUUUCCCGAUGCAUAGUGAGAGAUCAGACACUCCCUCACCAAGGAGGUUCCGGGCAUUCUGUGGCACUGGCGGACUGCAUAAGACAUGCUGUGAUACACCAACCCAAAGUCAAAGAGAGAGCACAGGCGCACUUUCUCCUCCCAUCGGGGCCGUGGCACCUCUUGACAGACAGCUCUCUUGACUUCUUAAGAACACACCCACCUCCUCACUCCCCGCCCCUUGCUGUUUUUAACGUGGAGAAGACAGACUUUUUGCCGCGCUCGUUUAAUAGAAUACCCUGAUGAACCGUGAGAAACUUGGCAGUCUGACUCGUUGUGAAGAACCGGGUUCAUGAGGGAGAUUACACUAGCUCAUCUCAGCUGAUGAGCCUGAGACUCUUGGAGAAUCCCUAGUCCCUACUCCUGUUAGUCCUCAGGAUUCUUGCAUAAAGGAAAUAAAAGUGAGGUGUGCUCACUUCCUUGUUGUCUU
rnacentral:lncRNA from 1 species